UACGGGGGGGGCAAGCGUUGUUCGGAAUUACUGGGCGUAAAGGGCUCGUAGGCGGCCAACUAAGUCAGACGUGAAAUCCCUCGGCUUAACCGGGGAACUGCGUCUGAUACUGGAUGGCUAGAGGUUGGGAGAGGGAUGCGGAAUUCCAGGUGUAGCGGUGAAAUGCGCAGAUAUCAGGAGGAACACCGAUGGCGAAGGCAGGUCUCUGGGCCAUAACUGACGCUGAGAAGCGAAAGCAUGGGGAGCGAACAGG
rnacentral:rRNA from 1 species